UUAUUUUCCAGUGAAUAUGGAACAUUCAUAAAAUUUACCAUGUCUUAGGUGAAAAACAAAGAUAAUAACGCAAAAAAAAAAAAAAAAACAAUCCUUGGGGAGAUGUGUGCUACUACAAGGGCUUGUGACAAAGGAUUGUUAAUCUUUGUAUAACUACUGUCUUCCACAAUAAUUUAUAUUAUUAUCUUUAAAGUGAAACUUACUCUUAAACUAAGAAUACUUUUGUUCUUAAGAUAUCGUGACAUCAGGAUAUUUUCUGGGCCUGCUAAGUCCUGGAUCUCUUCCUUCAGCUUGGUCUGUUCUCACAUGUCAGUCCUUCCAAGGUUGUAUAUAGUGAUAUCUAUCCUAAUGUAAACAUCUUAGUUUUGCAUUUUAAUUUUAAAUUGCAGUAACCAAGAUUGCAAGAUUCAUGGAUGAUCAUUUAUUUUUUCUACAUGCUCCUUAAGUGUGAUUGGCCAUAUAAGGUCUUUUUAAAUUGGCUUUACUGAGACUUUCCUUAUAAGGAAUCUCAGAUUAGACUUUCAAAAGCUUCUUGAGGUUAACCAAAUCAAAGAUUUAUUUGUGCUU
rnacentral:lncRNA from 1 species